CAGGCUGAAACGCAGUGUGCAGUACAGGACAUCAAGACCCGAGCUAUCUCUGGAGUGACUCUGAGGUGCUAUAGGUGGCUUCAGAGAACGGGUGGAAGCAUCUGCCAUGUGGGGUGCCACAGGCAAGGUGGGCUGUGAUAGUCUUCAGAACAGGAGCAAAGCAGGUCACUUGAAUGCUGUUUGGUUCCUGAGACAGGUGUUGUAGAG